AUAAAUAAAAAUUAGCAUCUCCAGGAUCAAAUUAACCCCAUUUAUCCUAACCUGGACUGAGUCUUAAGUAAAGAGGCUCCUAAGACAAAGGCUCAGGCCUAUAGCUAAGAAAAGGAAAAUAGUUUGUUCUCUGUAGAAAUUGAAAUUUUGGACCAGGAUUUUUCAUGUUUACAAAAGGAAGGAAGAGAUUAUCUCUUUAAAUUCUAUUCCCAGAUUUCAAUAUUUUGUUGCGGUUUCACCUCUAGAAAUACUCUGAGUAGCUGCAUGUGAAAUACCAGAGCCAGGAGCUCUUGGUACUAUGUUGGGAAAUCAAUCACGUGAUAUUAUUUUCUAAAGAAGUGUAGGCAUGACAUUCAUGCAAGGACACACACCAGGUGGCAUAACUGCAUUCUUCUGCAGGCAUUCUUGGAGAUUCACAAUGCUGGCAGGCAGUUUGAGAUUAAUUCAGUACUGCUGCAACUCCAGAGAUGCUAACAGAGCCUGAAAUAAAUAGGAAAAAUCAGGACGCAGGAGCACACUUACCCCAGCGCUGCACAGGGGUGUCCUCAGUAAACAGCCACUGCUCCUCUCGCUCUGGAUGAAUGCAGCGGGCAGCAAAAUAAGAAGCUCCAAGAGCAUUAAGCAGACACCGUGCUCAGCUUUCUUCUUCACAAGUGAGGUCACUGGAUUUCAUCUCACUGGACAGCAGCUGAAGACACUGAACUUGCCUUCAAACAUAGCUACAAACAGGCAUGUGAAUACAGUAAUCAGCUCCUUUUGAGGACAAGCUUGAGAAGAAAGAAAGGAGUGGAAAUGGUACAGAAGUCCAGCCUUGAGAAGUUCAUAUCUUGUUUAUCUUAGAAAUGAAGCUACGUUUGAAAGUAUUAUUCUUAAUACUUAAUGAAAAUUUUUAAUUCUCAAAAAAAACCCCAACCCAAAACCAAAACAAACCACCAAACAACCCUCUGGGAGUUGAUAAGUUACUGUCUUGUACUUAGUGCAAGACAAAUAUAUUUAUGCUGGGACAUUUAAGUGUUAAAGGCUACCAGAUCAGCCUGGCAGGCUGGUAUGCUCCUUAAAAACUACUGAAAGGAGGGUCAUAGAAUCAUAGAAUAGUUUGGGUUGGAAAGGACCUUAAAUAUAUAAAAAGAUAUAUAAAAAUUAUAAACAUUAUAAAGGUAUAUAAGAUAAAGAGGAUGCUGCAGCACAGCUAACACCUUUGAAUUUGACAGGGAUGUAAUACCAACCAGGCAAUGGCCAGGUUCUGAGAUGUACUGGCUGGCUUCUGUGUGCACACAGACCUAGCAGAAGAAGUGGUGGUAAAGCCUGGGAGUAAGGCUACACACCAUGAGCUUUUCUCUUUUUUAAUCUCAUUUACUUCCUCAUUGUGGUUUUCAGACUAAGAAAAAUUGUCACUGACAUCUCUGACCUCUGCAGAAUUUCCAUUUCUCUCAAGUGAGCAAAGUAGUAGGCCAAAUCUAUAAACAGAAGUCAUUAUGCAAUUUAUUAAGACUGGAAUAAGUAUCAUCAGGAACUGUUACAGGGAUAGAUCCUUAUAUAUAUAUAUAUAUAUUUAUUUCUACCACUAGAGGACUGUAAUGUGCUGUGUAUUUGAGAAAAUCCACAUUAUCUCUCAGUGAGUGGCACAACAGUACCCUGAGGUCAAAUCAUAAUGUUUUAAAAGAAGUUUCUACAUAUUGAAUUUCAACUUCCAAAGACAACUCUCUGCCAAUAGGAGAAGAAAUUCAAAUAAGCAACUAUUCCGUCAUUUAAUAAAAUCAUGAGAGAGGACACUUAGUAAUCAAAUCAGAUGCUAUUUAUGCACAUAAGCAACUUUCCUCAGCUGUCUUUAAAACUCAUAGACUGUUCCCUUGUGUAAUACUGCUGAGAUUGGGGUCUGCUGAACAGACACCAAGCCAGCUAGUUUGAAGUUAGGAAUGAAUAUAAAGUAAAGAAUAAAUAGUCACCUCUAAUACGUUUGCGCAUUAGAUUUGAAGAUACAGCACACCUGAUAUCUCCUCUGUUGUUGGUAGUCUGAAAAAAGAGUACCUCACUUAUACACGAAGGUUAUACUUAAAGCUAUUAGAGAAAUAUUUUUUCUUCUAAAAUAAUCAUGAGAUGGAUAUUUCCAAAACAAUAGUGCAGUUUACAGUGUUUGCACUAUUUUUAUUUUUUCUCACGUUGAUUUGGCCAUUUGGUCACUCUGCUUUCUCUGAUAUGACAAAGUUUUUCUCAGCUAGAAAUGGAACUUUUCUGUGGAUUUCAGAGGAACCAUGAAGAUCUCAAUCUAUAACUGAAUCUCUGUGGGUGAAAACAAAUGGAGCACUCAGACUGGUGGUUUUCUACUCCUGGCAUCCUCCAGGCUGCACUCCAGGUCUAACAGUUACUCCAUUACGAACUGAUCAUACUACAUGGGUAGACCCACUGAUGUUUCACAAUACUCAUUUCAGAGCACCUGCUUCAUCCUGAAGGUCAUAAUUCUUCGUAAGUCAAAAGCUUCACUGGAAGUGUUUGCAGGGGAAGGUUAGCGAUGGCAGCAGAAACUGACUCCUGAAAUAAGAUUCAUCUCAUCUAAGUUUACCCACCUGGAAGUUAGAUGUCUUCAGCAAACUCACAGCCAGUGGAGACAUACUCUGUUAUUAGGACGUGAGUCACCAUGCCUAUCUGUCAGAUCUACCAUAGGGCAGCAUGAAUCACCCAUUAGCCAGUGCCUAGCUUUUUUAUUAACAAAAGAAAGAGCCUAGACAAUUAACUCAGACUGUAUGCCUAAGUAUUAAGUAGACCAAAUCAGGCAAAAUGUCCCUUUCACUGCCUCCAGUCUUGCAUAAAGACAGCAGUACCGAAAAUACACAGGUCUGAAGCUCUCUGCUUAGGGCUCUGUGCAGUAAUUUCUCUCUGUGGAACAUAAUGCAAAGCAAAGUCUAGUGUAAAGAAAUGGAGAAGCUUUGAUUGGUUGGUUCUUCUCCCUUACUUCUGUGGGUGUCAAUGACUACACAAAACGUGGGAGAGUCAGACUUACCCACAGCUCCUAGGCGAGUCCUCUAGCAGCCAAUUGAAUGCAUAGUAAAAAGGUAUGAUUUUGAGAUUCCCGCAGCAAACGCUGUGCUUUUUCCCCUGCUUUGCUUUUCCCACUUGUGUGGAACAUCCACCAUCCCUCUGUGAACAGUCUGAGAGCAGAAAGGGAGUGAUAAAGAAAAGCAAGAGGAGUUUGGGAGGUGGAAGCUUCUCCCUCACCACCCAAGCCAAGGCCUGAAGGUGACUCAUCCUCCUCUGCACUAGCUCUUACACAGUUCCUGCAACGGGGGGCUUCACUCGCUGUUUUUCCCUUCCUUUCCUUUUCUCUGCCCCCCUCCCUUACAGGAGAUCCAAAAAGUUCCCCUUCAUCCUGUGAAUGACUUCCCUCAUGUUCUUUCCCCAGAAAGUGAUCAUUCUUGAUUGGUCACUGGGCUAUCCAGGUCCUGUUGUUAUGCAUUGUUCCAGGCACCGUAUGAGCCUUUAUGCAUUUAUUGCAAAACAGCGUAGUAAAGCUGACAGGCUUGAUAGAAUAUGUGUUCGAAGUCAGGUUCUCAGACCUGUGGCUCCAGAAAAAAAAGAGGACCCUCAGUACUCACUUGGUCACUUGAGGCAAUAAGUACAAAAUGCCCCUGUAAAGACUGAAAGCAGACUGACUUUAAGUGGGUGCUCUUUUGCUGAUUUUAAAACUGUGCUGCUUCCAAUUCACACCAGCAUGGGAAUGUUCGAUAACAGCCUUAUUGUGCGCUUCAGCACAGAGCAAAACCCAUCUUCCUACGCACAGAAAGGAGGUGUCUUCUAAAAUUAAACGUCAUUCUAGCUAGCAUUGUAAUAUGCUGAAUUUUCAUAUUGAAAUAUGGCAUAUUGGCACACUGAAGAGCUGAUAAACAAAUCCUUAAGGCUGAAGCUUCAAACAAGAGAAUGCAGCAGAGCAGAAUUAUACUUUAUAAUAAUAUAAUAUAUAUUAUUUCCCCUACUGUAGAUGUGGUGCAGUAACUCUAGGGCACAAAGACCAUCUCAGUUUUGUGGUACACUCUUACAGUGGUGUACUUACUUGUUUUGACAGUGCAGAAGAGAUAGAGGACUCAGUGACCCUGGGGAACUAAUCAGCUUCUAACUCCGAGAAAUUCUCUCUACAAGAAGCCAGCAUCCCUUUUCUGGGAUUGCUAAAUGAUAUGUGCACCAUUAGAGUCAUCAGGGGUUCUCCCUUUCUCAAGACUGCAUCAGUAAGUUGAUGCAAACAUUGCAAAAAAAUAUGUGGGAAGUACACAACCAUCCAUUCUCUCACCCUGAAGCAAGUCCUUCAGCCUAGCCAAGGCAAACAUUUUGUUUAGGUAAACAGCUUAGCUUUGCAUAAGAGAGACCCGCUCUCUCAGCUGAUCUAAACAGGUGUUGUUGGUCUGAUGUCAGGGGACACCACCUAUCAACAAACAGGAUGGAAAGUUUGCAGAUGAAACAUAGGUGUGCAGGAGCCAUCUAUGUCCUGGAACAUAAGCAUAGUCAGUGCUUAAACGUUGCAAGCCAGGAAAUCACCAACUGCUUCUAACCCCAGUUUAGCAAAUUAUUGGGGAAAUAAAAUAAACAGCAUAGCUACUCCAUUAAAAAUGCAAGCAUCCUCUGCUUGUACGUGAAAAGUGGCCCCAUCAAACUGUAGUUAUGAAAACCAUCAAGUCUUUGAGAAGUAUCGUGUACCUUUACCAGUGCUGAAAAUAAUGUCUCAAGCAUGGUUUGCCACAACGAAGUUUUUGUGCAAAGUAUGAUCAUUCAUCUGCCUCAUAAGAGAAAUAUGGUGGGACUGGUGGGAAAAACAUGCACACAUACAAAAACGCUCACUCUUAGUAUGUACAAACAUAGAGCAUGUUAUUUAAUAACAGGAAUCCACAUAUCCACAUAGUAAAACAUAUGUACAGUUGAAAUAACGAUGAGUUACACUUCCCCACCCCCAUUUAAAUUUGUUAACUUAUGGAUAUAAAUAAGAACAAUUUUUAAGUUGAUAGAGGUUCUUCUUCCACCAGCUUUCUGUUCAGCACACACAGUGGGAAAGGUAUAGCUAUUGAACAAAUCAGGCAUGUAAAACACAAAGAUUCACUGCACACAAACACAGCUUAUGUCUUUCAUGGAAGUGCAAGCCUGCAUGGAGCAGUGACAGUACUCCCUCCACGAUGACAAUCUCCCUGUUCCCCUCUGGGAGCAGAAUGUGUAGCAAAGAUUUAACAUCCUGCUUCCAGCAUCUGCUCCCAGACCGCAUGGCAAAGUCAGUGAGGUGAAAGGCUUGUGGGGAAAGAGGGGCAGGAUAAGGGGAGUGGAAUGAGGAAACAAGUUCCUACAGGGCUUUCAAAACUAAAUGCUAGAUUUAAAACUUGUGAGCAACCAUGGGCUCAUGUAUUUGAUUUGAGAAGGCACAUGCUGGGCAAGCAGCCUCUGCAGUGUUGUUAAAGUGCUUUGUUCCUGAGCUGCAUUUCCUUAACAUCUUGGAAUGUGUGGACCGCUCUGGCAUCUUCUUCACUUGAAAAUCACUACCCACAGUCUCAAUGAACCCAAGCCCUUUAGGAUUCUCAUUCCUUUUUCCCCUGAUAUCCAGAUUCAGAGGGGAGACAAUGACAGCAAGAAUAGAAUAGAAUAGAAUAGAAUAGAAUAGAAUAGAAUAGAAUAGAAUAGAAUAGAAUAGUUCAAUUCUGUUCAGUUCAGUUGGAAGGGACCCACAAAGAUCCUCCAGCCAAACUGCCUGACCACUUUAGGUCUGACGUCUCUUGAGGAUCCAGCCGAGCAACUUACUCUGUAUGACACUUUGCCCCUAUAGACUAAUAACCUAUUGACCCUCUCUAGAUAUCAACACAAAACCUUCUGUCUAACCACUUCAAUAGGGGCUUGCUGGCUGCCCAUCCAUUCAACUGCUUUGCAUAAAGCACAGUUAAUUCCACUUGUUGUGUGCUGUAAUUCUGAUGAACUCUGGUUCACCCUAGUACUGCUAUCUGUUUUCACCUCAGGGCUGUGUUCUUCCAAAUGAUAUCUAUUGACUUGGUAACUUAAGCCUGGUCUCCCUUCACAUGAUUAUAUCAUUCCUAGAAACUUCAGCUGACUUUGUAAUGGAAUAAGUCCUCUCUGCAGGUUCAACGGUGCUUUCUAGGAUGCUGUGAUGUUCCUCACAAACUCCCCUGCACUCCAUUUAUCACCUGGAGUAUUAUCAGGUAUCACUCUGCUUGGAUGCAGAGUGCUGCAGCACCCUGUGGAUUGUGCGUGGUCACAAGAACAGAGAAGCAAGUCCCAGUAUCAAUAAACCAUUUGCUCAUUCCUCUGUUGUUCAUGAGAAGGACAGAAAUCAUAAGCCACAGCUGUAAGCAAAAUAUCUAUGCUAUGUUCUAAUGUGAUUCCUAUCAAAACAGAACAGAAGAACUUUGUGAUCUUUGGGGUAAAACCUUAGAAGCUCAGGAAAGAGCCAUUCUCCCACAUAUAGAAAUUGAGGCACAGGAUGCCUUCCAGUUUUCAGGUGAAGAUAGCAGCUUAGAGUCUCAAAGGUAUGUUAUAUGCAAGGGUUUUCCACCCCUCAGUCUCUUGAAUGAGCUCUGCUGAGAGAGGCCAACUUGAUCUGCUGGCUGGAUCCUGCAGAAACAGAACAGGCCAAGCUGUCAAGUGAUGAGCUGUUGGUAGUCAUACUCUCAGAAUGGCUAUCAGCUGCCACUUUGACAGGAAUGCAGCAUUGUUUGGUGGCAUUCACCUCAAGGGACAGACAUUCUCUGCAUCAGGGAAAGCAAUUUCAGUUUUCAGAACUCUGUAGGUAUGUAUAUUGGGGUUUUAUGUAUUCAAGAAUUGUUCAUGUCACACUGUUGUAUUCUGACUCAGUUUAAGUAGCAUUGUAAAGGUCAUCUCUCAAUAACUGAGGCAGAUGAAGUACAUGAAGUGUUAUACCAUUUCCCUUCCUUGCUACAGGAGAGAAAGUCUGUGUGACUCUAUGCUUGUGCUUGGCUAUGUUUUUGAUCCAUGGAGAUGCCAUUAUAUUACCUGUGAUUGUUUAAGAUAUUGCCACCACUGAUGCUGCAAUCAGAGCUUAGUUUCUCUACCACAGGGGAAACAGAAGAGAACAUAUGUUGUCUCUUUGGCUGCCAUUGCUUAUAUAUUGUGUGUUAGAUUAAAAUAUCGAUCAUUCUUCACUCAAGUGGUCAAAAAAAAAGGUGGUGUGUAGAUGUGAGGCUUCUGUAAAUUGAAUACUUUUACCAGUAGCCUGAAGAGUAACCUUCUGAAACAGUGGUUCUACUCUUUUUCUGUGGCUAUGCAAUGUGAAAAUGAGUUGAAGCCACUGAAUUAGAUAGGAAUACUGGCUCUCAGGCAGUGUGCUCCUGGACACAUCAGAUUUAGUAAUGUGUAUUUAAUAGUAUGCCAUUAAGUUGAUGUCGAGUUUGCUUUACGCUCAUAAAUCACAUAUCUCAUUGCAUGACCUAAAUGGAUUGUUCCACUUUUGUUUCAAUAAUAUUUCAUAGCCAAGGCAAAGCUAUCCCUAUAUAGAACAGGCUGCCUUUCAUAUAGUUCAUGUCAAUCUCUUACAAGUAUAGCUUUGCCCAGUAUUUCUAUGUAUCAUCCAGAAGCUCCCAGGUUAAGUAAAUGUAAUCAAUUGCUAUUUAUAUUCUUCCUAGCAACAAAAGGAAGGUUUUACCUGACCAUCCUUCCUGGAACUAACACCCUAUAGAAAUGUUCAAUCUCAUUAUUUAAGGAUUAAGUUCAGCAUUAAAACCUAACUUUCAAUCAGGAAAACUUACUAUCGUUUGAGAAAACUGGAUUAAAAAAACAGAGGAUGGACUAGAGGGCUUGAUUCACUGCUACUGGUAUGGCAAGGGCCUCAGACUCUUUCAAGACUAGUACAGACAGGCACGACAGUCAAAAGGUGCCCAGGAGACUAAAGAGGCAAAGAGUACUUUCAAUGCUAGCUGUGCCCAACAGAAUUAUUCAUUCUGCCAGCUCCAAUGCACCUUCAAGUAGCACAUGAGCAUAUUCACAGUGGCACUUCUGCUAUCUGGGCAGCCCAUCUCCAUACUGAGAAAGAGACACAUCAUACAGGAAGCAAAAACUGGUGAAGUGGGAGUGAAAAUGCUAAUCGAGUACCUUUUGGCGAGUGCAGCACUUAAACAGCAAAGCUAGUUUGCUGGCAAACAGGAUAAUUUCUGCAAGCAAAUUGAAAGUUGAGCUGUUCCAACUAGAUGGAAGUCAGUUUGGGGGAUGAUCUGAAUAUUCUCCUCUUGGGCUGGCUAUGAAGGUGGGAUGAAUUCAGAUCACAAAGGAAAAGACUUGACAUGCAAGUUGCUUGGGUGUUAAGGCUGCGAAAGAACAGUGGAGAGAACCAGAUACCUAUAUUUACAGGCACAGCCUCAAGCCACAAGCUUCCAUGACUGGCUGACAUGACAUGAUAGCUAGUGAAAGCAACAGACCUCCUCUUAAACACUGAAGCUGACCCUUACUGUUUGGUUCAGUAUGCCAAGGGAAACGGACUCACAUAGCCACCUCUUUCACUUUCUCCCUUCUCUCUGGAAUCUAGGGGUUCCUAUUAAUCUGAGCAACACAUUAUGCAAGCUUUCUGCCCUUUAUUUCUUAGAGGAACUCUUUCUAAUCUAGUGAUUCUCACAUUCUCUGUGAAUACCUGUCCUCUGGCCUAACGAUAUGCUCUAUGCACAUUUCAAGAAUUGCUUAUGUGGAACAAUUUGCAGUUUAUAACGAUAGGGGAGUCACUGGUAGCAGAGUAUAAUGCAAGUGGGAGGCAUUGGCUGGAAUAAGUCCAGGACCAGAAGAGUAGACUCAGGAAAGAGCAAGCUGCAGACAGGCCCGAGAGCAGAAUCAAAGGCAAGCUGCAUGAAUGGCAGCGUUGUGCAGCUGCUUCUCAACAAGAACUGCAUGAUGGGCUCAAUGAGAUCAUGCUGAGACAUGGCAGGACAGUACUUCAAAGCAGAGGGGUUAUCUCUCUGUGCUGG